UGCAGUCGAACGGUGAAGCCCAGCUUGCUGGGUGGAUCAGUGGCGAACGGGUGAGUAACACGUGAGCAACCUGCCCUCCACUUCGGGAUAAGCCUUGGAAACGGGGUCUAAUACCGGAUAUGAGCUCGCAUCGCAUGGUGUGGUUGGAAAGUUUUUCGGUGGGGGAUGGGCUCGCGGCCUAUCAGCUUGUUGGUGGGGUGAUGGCCUACCAAGGCGUCGACGGGUAGCCGGCCUGAGAGGGCGACCGGCCACACUGGGACUGAGACACGGCCCAGACUCCUACGGGAGGCAGCAGUGGGGAAUAUUGCACAAUGGGCGCAAGCCUGAUGCAGCGACGCCGCGUGAGGGAUGACGGCCUUCGGGUUGUAAACCUCUUUCAGCAGGGAAGAAGCGCAAGUGACGGUACCUGCAGAAGAAGCGCCGGCUAACUACGUGCCAGCAGCCGCGGUAAUACGUAGGGCGCAAGCGUUGUCCGGAAUUAUUGGGCGUAAAGAGCUCGUAGGCGGUCUGUCGCGUCUGGUGUGAAAUCCCGAGGCUCAACCUCGGGCUUGCAUCGGGUACGGGCAGACUAGAGUGCGGUAGGGGAGACUGGAAUUCCUGGUGUAGCGGUGGAAUGCGCAGAUAUCAGGAGGAACACCGAUGGCGAAGGCAGGUCUCUGGGCCGCAACUGACGCUGAGGAGCGAAAGCAUGGGGAGCGAACAGGAUUAGAUACCCUGGUAGUCCAUGCCGUAAACGUUGGGCACUAGGUGUGGGGCUCAUUCCACGAGUUCCGUGCCGCAGCUAACGCAUUAAGUGCCCCGCCUGGGGAGUACGGCCGCAAGGCUAAAACUCAAAGGAAUUGACGGGGGCCCGCACAAGCGGCGGAGCAUGCGGAUUAAUUCGAUGCAACGCGAAGAACCUUACCAAGGCUUGACAUGUACGAGAAAGCCCCCGAGACGGGGUUCUCUUUGGACACUCGUACACAGGUGGUGCAUGGUUGUCGUCAGCUCGUGUCGUGAGAUGUUGGGUUAAGUCCCGCAACGAGCGCAACCCUCGUCCUAUGUUGCCAGCGGGUUAUGCCGGGGACUCAUGGGAGACUGCCGGGGUCAACUCGGAGGAAGGUGGGGAUGACGUCAAAUCAUCAUGCCCCUUAUGUCUUGGGCUUCACGCAUGCUACAAUGGCCGGUACAGAGGGCUGCGAUACCGUAAGGUGGAGCGAAUCCCAAAAAGCCGGUCUCAGUU
rnacentral:rRNA from 1 species